rnacentral:rRNA from 1 species
UACAGAGGGUGCGAGCGUUAAUCGGAAUUACUGGGCGUAAAGCGCGCGUAGGCGGCUUUGCAAGUCGGGUGUGAAAUCCCCAGGCUUAACCUGGGAACUGCAUUCGAGACUGCAUUGCUAGAGUAUGGGAGAGGGAGGUGGAAUUUCCGGUGUAGCGGUGAAAUGCGUAGAUAAUCGGAAGGAACAUCAGUGGCGAAAGCGACUUCCUGGACCAAUACUGACGCUCAUGAUGCGAAAGCGUGGGGAGCAAACAG